CAGAGCUACACAGAGGAUCUAUCACAUGAUCAGCUUCCUGACAGCCCUCUGGGGAGCUCUUUUGUCACCAACACAAGCACCUGAGUGGAUGCCUUGGAUCAACGGACAGGGAACUUGGGAAUCAGCUUCUUGGGGCAAGAUCACCUCUUCUAUUUGACCCAUAUGGAUCCAGGGGCCUGAGGAAUGAAGAUUAGAUUGGAUUGGAUAGGAUUGGAUUAGAAGCCUUGUGGAGUGGCUUGACACAUGGGUUUUGGAGGCAGCCUACCUACGGACAAAUGGUAUGAAGAAGGACGGGGAAAAGUGAGCUGGGGCAGAUGGAAGCCUCAAGUCUGACAAAGUGAAUCUUUCAUCCUCUUCACAAUACCUAGGAUGUCUUGUAUCCUGGGAGAUACAAGGCAUUUUUUUGUUGUUGCCUCAGUUUUUAAUGUUCAAAUGCUGCUGUGGCUAAGAGUAAGGCUGCAGAUUCUCUGUGCUGCCAUCUUGAAUUCCCACCUGCUCUCCCUCUUGGGAUCCUUUUGACCUCCACAAUAUUUAUCUGCUAAGAGACAAUGAGGCCAUGAGUCCUGCAGCCCACACUUCUUCAGACAAUUUAUAUUUUUGGAUGAGAUCUCCAGAAGGGCAUUGCUCACCUCUUCUAUAUUUUGCAAACAAUUCUAGAAUCUUAAUCAAAGAACCAUUGGCUACACAUUGGCUACACACUGGCUACAUUGCUCAAAAAGUUGGCAUUUUAGGGACAACGUACUCCGCUUGAGAUCCAAGCUGGUGGAGUUUUUCUUUGCUUAGUAUCCUCCACCAUCUAGGUUUUAAACUAGAUGUUGUUUGGCAGGUGUGUCCCAUAGCUUUCGGUUUGUGGUGGUGCUUCCCUUGUGUCAUCUUCUCUCUUAUUCUCAUUCCUUUUUAAAAAUGUUAUUAUUUUUGGUAGGUUUAAGAGUUGAGCAUCAAGCAAAAAUGUACUUUCUUAACCAUCUUCAAAUGAACAAUUCCUGUGACUUUUAGAUUAAGAGAGAUGAUAAUCUAGGGCUUCUAUAUCUCCCGAUUUUAAUUGUAAGACAGAUGCAAAUUUAGCUUAAGAAUUUAGGCUAAGAGCCAAGGGAUCGUAGGAUCAAUAUUUAUAUGUGGCCCAAAUAAGUUUUGUCAGGAGGAAUUUGAGCAUAACAAUGAUAAUAUUGACUAUAGCUGCUUGAAUGCCUAUGAUGGUCCAGGAGCUUGGUUGAUGCUUUGCUUAUUUCAAUUCAAAUCCAAACAAGAACCUGCAGCCCACACUUCUCCAGACAAUUUAUAUUCUUGGAUGGGAUCUCCAGAAGGACAUUGCCACCUCUUCUAUAUUUUGCAAACAAUUCUAGAAUCUUAAUCAAAGAACCACUGGCUACACAUAGGCCACAUUGCUGAGGUGAGGUUUGUUAACCCCAUUUUACCAGAGGAAAAAGAGAAAAGUGAGAAUAUGAAAGAUCAGGUGCCUGGAUGAUAAAUCACUGAGCUUGCAUUCAAAAUCAAGUGACUUUCACUUCCUGAUUCCUCCUCCUAUUUUUCUCUAUAGACAAUAUGUGAAGUCUAAAAAUAAAAUUUUAAUUCAGUAGAAGUUUCAGCAAA